rnacentral:lncRNA from 1 species
CUAUGAGAAGACACAGCACACCAAAAUUACCAGCUUAAUCAAUGAUUAAAAUAAGCUCAUUUUGAUUUAGACAGUAUAUCAUGCUCUACCCUUCCUGAAAAAAGUUAUAACCAGACAGAGAAAAGCUGAAUAAUUAGCAUAAAAUUAAUAAGGUAGAUUCCAAGUGAAAUAUCAAAUUGCCAUUGAAGAAGCAAAAUUUGAAACAAGUGCAGAAAGCAUCCAGCUGAAUAUCACCACAACCUAUUUGAGGCUUUUACCAAGAGGGAAAUGCAUGCAUACAACAAGAACUGCUGUCAGCAUUGAGAAGCAUGCAUAGACUUCAGAUUUGUCACAUGACAGGCAUAGGAUGUACAGGCAUAUAGAUAAACAUAGGGAGGAAGAGUCUAGAUGACACAUGCAAGUGUUUCAAUCAGGUCAAUUGCAUUCCCAGACAAUAUAAGAAUUGGAAAAGCACUGCUUUAUUAGGUAUAGCAAAAUUGCCACUAACUUUUUCACAUAAGAUAUAUGGUAUCCAAAUCAUUAAGCAUGUUAUUAUCAAGGGAAAGGACAAUAUUACCCUGUCGAGAUCGGUGUGUGUAAGUGCAACAUGAUCGUUGCAGGCAAUGCAGUUUCCCAAUGCAGAAAGUCUCUCAUCAAUGCGCUGAACAACAACUGAAUCUGGUAGACUAUUCCUCAAAUGCUGAAGUUCUUUAUCACAUAUAAUGUAAAUCAAAGUCAGAACCUUGAAAGUCCAUAACACAUCCACAAGCAAAGGUAGAUAAUUCUCAUAUGCACCACAACUUUUUUACGAACAAAUAGUGAUCUUAUGAUGACAUGUAAUACGUCAUCAAUUAAAUCCAACAAAAACAUGGUCAACCAACCCAAGAAGAAGACAAAUGAAAAAGGAAAAGAACAAAGAUUAUACAUUGCACAGUGUAGCUGAAUAUCAAUACUUGAAAGGAAAAUUAUUUGCUUAAAAAUUUUAAAGCUGUGAAUCAAAAGAUACACAAUAACUGUACUAGCAACAAGUUCAUGAAGUUGUUACCUUGAUCGGUGGUAGUAUGCGGUAAGAGAAGCCCAUUCUUGUUUCCUAAAUGAAAAAAGGGGGAAAGUUAUCCUAUCUAAACAGUCAUUCCAAUGGUACUCAUGUCUCUACAAGCAAAAUAACUCUAAGAGCCUUCUAAAGUCCUCACCAGCACAAAGUCUUCCAAUGAUCCUAGUGCCACCAAUCGCGGUCUUCACUACCGGAAUUACAUCAGCCAAUUCUGCCUCAAACGUACUACAAUACACAAUAUAUAGGUUACACACAAGAAAAAAGAUUUGCUGAAGAAAAAGGGAAAAUAAAUUUUAUCAUGUUAGUAGAGUAGCUUGAAGCGAACCUGUAGAAGUUCUCAGAACCUCCAAUGGCGACCAAGCAAUAAGCAUUGGUCAACUUAGAAAAAACUCCAACUUCGCAUGAAUUCUCAAAUUGCAAUCCUAAAAUUAAAAGCAACGAUAAUAAUUAUGAUAUUAAAGGAACAAUUUUCACGCCAUAAAUCAGCUAAAAUCAAUUCUUUUUUUUAACUCAAUGACUUAUUUGAACUGGAAUACUCACUGGUAGCCAUGAUUCCAAGGAUAUCAAACAAAUAUAAACACCUACUCGAUAUUAGAUCUGAAAAGGGAAAAAAUCCAAGAAGAAAGGAUUGAACAUGGAAAGAAAGAAUAAAAAGCAGGAACAAAUAAGAAUAAUAAUGAAAUCAAUUACGGAAUUCUUACAAUCAAGAAAUCGAGGUUCUAUUGAAAAUUCGUAGAUUACCUAAAAGGGAUUUGCUGGGAGAAUGAUUUGAACGUUCAGCAGACGCUAAUCAACGAGAACAGAAACCCUGAUUAGUGUUUUAGGGUUAGGGCUUAUAACCAAGUCAAAAUAAAGAAUCCAAACGGUGAGAGGCUGAGAGCUGUUUUGUUUUCCUGGCUUUCCCCCUCUCUUUUAUUUAUUAUUUUUUUUUGGCGAUAAUUUGCGGAGGUUGUUUGGAGCCAGACGCUGAAAGGGCCUUAUAUGAAGGCCCCUUGUAUGUCGCUGUUGAGGAUUCAACUUCUCGACCAGUUUGGGCCAGAUUUAUUUAUUCCCCUUUCGGCCCACGCGGAAACUUCACCCUUGUAUCCCAAGAAAAAAAAAAAAUUUCUCAUCUUUGAAAUCAACAUUGACAGUCAACAUAUUAGACAUCUCACGUCAUUUCUUGUGAAGAACGUUGAAAGCUUGAUGAUCAAGAAAAGUUGGAUGUGAGCAGGCACAUAUUUGUAGUAUUGGUUUGUUGCAUAUAAUUUCACAUGGGUUUUGAAAUCUACCCUGAUGGAGUUAUUUUCUAACUACUUUGUUUUUGUACUUUGUAUUUAAAGAAUCAUACAAAUACAGCCAAAAAAUAGAUUGUCCAUUAGCAUAAUUCAAAACUCAUUUUGUAUAAUUUAUGCCUUCAGCUUCUUCAAAAUCAUGCUAAUUGCCAGUCAUUCUUUGCGACAAAUUCAGAACAUGUAAUUAGGUAAACUCAGCGUAUUUAACCAAAUGCUAUCUCUUCCUUUAAAAUUGUCUUACCAAAUAUGCCAGGUUAAGUCUGAGUCUCAAAAGAUUCAGGCACUAUUUGGAUUGAGGGAAUGGGAGAGGAAUCGAAGAAAUUUGGUUUUUGUUGUUUGGAUUGACUUUUAAGUAGGGAAAGGGUCUAAUAAUUUUGUCGAAAUAUGGUUUUCACUCAAAAAUGGGCGGAAACGAGGGAAAUGAAAAUAAAUUAAUUUCAAUAAUUUUAAAUUUUUUUAAAAAAGAUCAAUUUUGUCUAUAUUUUCUGGUAAUUAAAUACUUGGUCUUUUACUUUCCUUUCUCUUCCUCUUCAAUCCAAACAAAAAAUUAGUAUUUUCUUUCAUUUCCUUCCAUACUUAAUCCAAACAAAAUAGAUGGACAUCACUUUUCUCUACUCUCCUUUCUUUUCUUUUCCAUUAGUAUCCUUUUCUUUCCCUUCCUUUCCGUCAAUCCAAACGGUGCCUUAGAAAUUAUGGGAUUAAUCGAAUUCAGCCUUGGGCAUGCAAGCAAAAAAUACAUCUCCGAGUUGUAUUCAUGUAGCCAAGUAUACAACCUUUGGCCUUCGAUUGACCAAUCCAAGUCCAGCCUUUUAUCCUUGAAGACCAAAAACAAAUAGGAAAAAUUUUUAAAGGAAUAGGAAAUCCUCCGUGCUCCAGUGCAAUAUUCUUAUGAGAAUUGAAAAUGAGAGAGAGCUUGUAUUCUAUAUGCGCAUUAUGUCGACAUGAUCAUGAAUGUUAUUGUUGCAGUAUCGUUGCUCAGCAUCCUGAGAAUGAUGAAAAUCUCACAAAACCCAAUAUUUACAACAAAAGAAUAGCCACAGAACUUUUUUUUAAAAAAAAAAUUUAAACAAAAACAAUGAAAACAUAGAACAGGCCAGACUGAUGAUCGAUCAAAAUCACCCAUUACUACAUAAAAUUCGAGAAUUUAAAAUCGUUCUGAUGCCCGUAUCUGCAAGUGAAAGAUUGGCUUCGAAAGUAUUCCACCUCCUCUUGUUGCCACUUUCCAUCAUCAAAGUUCUUAGAGCAGCUAAAGCUAUCAUAUAUAAUUCAACAGCUCGUGUCUUUCGCUUUCCUUUGCACACGAUGACUUCUUUAGAACUACCUACUCCUUCAGCUGUGGUGGCCUGGAUUAGCCUCUCCAAUAGAUGUUUUAUUGUACUCAGCCUUCCAUUGGCUCCAAAGAAGUUACUGCCAUGAACCAUCUUUCUGGUUCAUGCUAACUUGUUCAAGUGAUUUCUUUUCCAUCGCAAACAGAAUUGUUUCACCAAAAGUUACUUAUACCAUGGUCCUGGAGGCAGUGAAAUAAAAGAAGAUUCCACAUGUUUUUCCCUUAUCACAAUGCAUUAGUGAUUAGCCACCCACCCAGGACUAUUCAUCUCCCUAACCUGGAGUAAAUAGCUUUUUGUAAAAAAGAUGAACCCUAGAAAUCUUCACCAACCACUACUUUCCAUAAUGCCAAAUCCAUAUCUCCAUCCCAACCAUUUUAUAUUUCAUCUGCAUUACUAUUAACAUCAAGGGGUUCAUUCAUACAACAGUUCCCAGAGUUAAGACUUAGGAAUUGAGACAAAUUUAGUACAGCACAAAAUCACAAAUUCACCUCUAGAUAUUCAUAGCAUCUAGCUUCAUUUUAAAGCAACAACUCGGCAGAAUGCACAGAAAUAAGCUUAAAAUGCGAGCAAAAAAGUUAAGGUGGUGCUUAUGUUAUAAGAAAGGUACAUGCCAAAAGCUACAGUGGCGGCGGAGACGGAGUCGCGUAAUAGGCGGAUGGGGACGGUGGUGGAGAGCUUGAAUGCGCUCGCGGGAUCAUCUGAGCUCAUAAUCAAAGCCGCACCGGCUCCGCCUCCCGCGGCUGUGGCCGCCAUCAACAGUUUCGCUCUGGUGCGCCACACCGAUCUCACCGCCAUUUAUUGGCCUUCCUUUUUAAUUUUUUUCCCCUUGUCCCCGCCUUUUGAUUGGCUUCGGGUUUUUAUUUAGAACUCCAAGAAAACGGGGUGGACAGAGGCGAAACUUCCUCUAUUAUCCACAUAUCUUCUGACAGCAGCUGAAGCGGAUAUGAAGACUGUUGACACGCUCUGGGUUUUAGUUUCGGGUGGCUGACUCGUUUGUAACUUGCAUUUCAUUGUUUUCAUAUUUAAAUAUGCAGUUUUACCUUGUUCCACACCUAAAUCUGGAGAUAGAUAUCAACUGUUACGAUUGAUCAAUCUCCAGCUUUUUUAUGAGUUCUUCUAUCACUCUAUUGUUUCAUGAUUUUCCUCGCGCAUGCACUGUUGUGUAUGCACCUAUUAGGCUAUUACCUUGCAUGGUUAGUGCUGUAGAACAGAACAGAAUGGCUAUGUAGGUCAUAGAAGGUACCACACACCAUUAUUGUUUGUGGAGGAUUAUCGUGCACAUGAAUUACAGGAUAGAAAUAUGGGUUAUCUGCACAUGAAUUGCAGGCAGGACUGAAAUAGGAAAGAACACAGCCUUCGCCAGGUUACUUCACAGACCUCUGCAUUUGAUAAAGAGAGAAUAUGGGACAUUUGUAGAUCUUGAAAUCCCCAAGCCUUGUGUGGACGUGUUUAAGUUAUAAUGCCUUUGUCCCGAAUGAGCCACAAGCGGACAUCGUGUUAUAGAAUGACUUGUGUCGAAGAACUGCAAAUUUUCAAGCAUUAACCAAAAUUUUUUUUUUCUUUUCAACUCCUCCCACUCAUUGAUCCAGCUAAGAAUCCAAUCAUGGAUAAGUCGAUCCAAAGCUCUCUCCCGUGUUCCCUUCUCUUUUUUUUUUCCCUUUUUUCUAAUCCAUUUUAAGUUUGUCAAAAUUAGACUGCUAUGCUUUGUUAAGAACAUCAACCACCAGCAGCAGAUCAUUCCUUCCUAGCGCCAUUUCCAGAAACAUAGAAAAGGAACACCCACUGGUUGGACUUAUAUUGCAUUAGGGAGCAAUCAGCCACAGGUAAUUCAAUUAACCAAGAGAAGCAACUUUCCCUGUAGAUGGCAAAAGCUCAUACUUAAGUAGAAGCGGAAGCCCGAGAAGGCCCAAGGCAGACAACAUGUCAGUCAACAAUUAAACGUACAAACCCAGAAUGCUUAAACAAUAAAGAAAACACACACACACACAAACAUGAUGAUUCACCAAGAGGAACAGAGUGGCCAUCACUCAGGACAAGUAAACAAUUUCAAAAUACAGAAUUCCUUUUGCUUAAAAUUGUAGUUGACUCACGAAUACAGUAAUUUACCAGGGGAGACAGCAUAAUCAUUAAAAAAAAAAAAGGAAAAAGAAGAGAGAAAGAAAAAACAUACAAUGUAAGUAAGAACAGGAGCUAUAAUUCCUGUAUAAGAGACACUCAUUGAUACACUCAACUUGGGCAUGCAGCUCAUACAUAGCUGUCAAUCAAUGACUUCCUCAUCUCAUCAACAAUGGCACUAGGUUGAGCUUCUCUUAACUUGAAAACGCUCUCUAUAACAGACAAUUCUGUUGCGGUAGUGUCAGAUCCACAAAAGGCUGUCCAGUCAUUAACUGUCAGGCAAGCAGCGAUUACUUCACUACCACGAUUCGCUGUCCCUGCCACCAGUGGAACCUGUAGGAGCGUAGAGAGUUCAUCUAGGUCCUCUAUGGACGUAUGAGGAUGCACCUGAGCAACAACAGAUUUCAGUGAGAAACAGACACGUGCUCUUAACUCUAACUUCAUAUUUCAUUAGCAUAAAUCACAGAAUGGAGGAGUUUUAUAUUCGUUCUAAUGUUCACUAAGUUCAAGGUGCACUGCUUACCAGGCCACCCCUAUUUGAAAAUGCACAGUAGCUGCCCACCAAAAUAUUUCCAGCAAUUGUCUGUCUAAAAACUUCUACUCCGAGAACAUCUGCAAUCAUCUCCUCAGUUUCCUAUGAGAAGACACAGCACACCAAAAUUACCAGCUUAAUCAAUGAUUAAAAUAAGCUCAUUUUGAUUUAUAAUGAUUAAAAUAAGCUCAUUUUGAUUUAUACGGUAUAUCAUGCCUUACCCUUCCUGAAAAAAGUUAUAACCAGACAAAGAAAAGCUGAAUAAUUAGCAUAACAUUAAUAAGGUAGCUUCCAAGUGAAAUAUCAAAUUGCCAUUGAAGAAGCAAAAUUUGAAACAAGUGCAGAAAGAAUCCAGUUGAAUAUCACCGCAACCUAUUUGAGGCUUUUACCAAGAGGGAAAUGCAUGCAUAUGACAAGAACUGCAGUCAGCAUUGAGAAGCUUCCAUAGACUUCAGAUUUGUCACAUGACAGGCACAGGAUGUGCACGGAUAUAGAUAGACAUAGGGAGGAAGAGUCUAGAUGACACAUGCAAGCGUUUCAAUCAGGUCAAUUGCAUUCCCAGACGGUAUAAGAAUAGGAAAAGCACUGCUUUAUUAGGUAGAGCAAAAUUGCCACUAACUUUUUCACGUAAAAUAUAUGGUAUCCAUAUCAUUAAGCAUGUUAUUAUCAAGGGAAAGGACAAUCUUACCCUGUCGAGAUCGGUGUGUGUAAGUGCAACAUGAUCAUUGCAGGCAAUGCAGUUUCCCAAUGCAGAAAGUCUCUCCUCAAUGCGCUGAACAACAACGGAAUCUGGUAGACUAUUCCUCAAAUGCUGAAGUUCUUUAUCACACAUAAUGUAAAUCAAAGUCAGAACCUUGAAAGUCCAUAACACAUCCACAAGCAAAGGUAGAUAAUUCUCAUACGCACCACAACUCUUUUACGAACAAAUAGUGAUCUUAUGAUGACAUCUAAUACAUCAUCAAUUAAAUCCAACAAAAACAUGGUCAACCAACCCAAGAAGAAGACAAAUGAAAAAGGAAAAGAACAAAGAUUAUACAUUGCACUGUGUAGCUGAAUCUCAAUACUUGAAAGGAAAAUUUCUUGCUUAAAAUUUUAAAGUUAAGAAUCAAAAGAUACACAAUAACUGUACUAGCAACAAUUUCAUAAAGUUGUUACCUUGAUCGGUGGUAGUAUGCGGUAAGAGAAGCCCAUUCUUGUUUCCUAAAUGAAAAAAGGGGGAAAGAAAAGGUUAGGUUAUCCUACCUAAACAGUCAUUCCAAUGGUACUCGUGUCUCUACAAGCAAAAUAACUCUAAGAGCCUUCUAAAGUUCUCACCAGCACAAAGUCUUCCAAUGAUCCUAGUGCCACCAAUUGCGGUCUUCACUACCGGAAUUACAUCAGCCAAUUCUGCCUCAAACGUACUACAAUACACAGUAUAAAGGUUACACACAAGAAAAAAGAUUUGCUGAAGAAAAAGGGAAGAUAAAUUUUAUCAUGUUAGUAGCUUGAAGAGAACCUGUAGAAGUUCUCAGAACCUCCAAUGGCGACCAAGCAAUAAGCAUUGGUCAGCUUAGAAAAAACUCCAACUUCACAUGAAUUCUCAAAUUGCAAUCCUAAAAUUAAAAGCAACGAUAAUAAUUAUGAUAAUAAAGGAACAAUUUUCACGCCAUAAAUCAGCUAAAAUCAAUUCUUUUUUUUAACUCAAUGACUUAUUUGAACUGGAAUACUCACUGGUAGCCAUGAUUCCAAGGAUAGCAAACAAAUAUAAACACCUACUCGAUAUUAGAUCUGAAAAGGGAAAAAAUCCAAGAAGAAAGGAUUGAACAUGGAAAGAAAGAAUAAAAAGCAGGAACAAAUAAGAAUAAUAAUGAAAUCAAUUACGGAAUUCUUACAAUCAAGAAAUCGAGGUUCUAUUGAAAAUUCGUAGAUUACCUAAAAGGGAUUUGCUGGGAGAAUGAUUUGCACGUUGGGCAGACGCUAAUCAAGAACAGAAACCCUGAUUAGGGUUUUAGGGUUAGGGUUUAGGGUUAAUUUCUCAUACCUCCCCUGAGAUUUUUAAUAAUUGCAAAAAGCUCCCCUCAAAUUUUAAAAAUUACACUUACCUCCCCUAUUUUCAUUAUUUAAGUAACAUUCUAGACCCAAAAGGUAUACUUUUUUCCAAAAUUUCUAUAAUACCCUUGAAUUAUAAUUCAUAACAAAAAUGUAAAGGAAAAAAAUGGUUAACAGUCUCUAUUUCAUUUAUCUUUAUUUCCUACCACUAUUACCUACUUAUUAACAUCUAAAUUACAAUUAAAUAAAUACUUAUCUUUGUUCUAAUGUUUCUCUUUUACCUAAAAAUUUUCGAUACAAAUCAUUAUAUCAACUAUAAACGCUAUAUCAUAUACCCAAAAACUUACCCACAAUUUCAUAACAAUAUCAGAUUUUACUUAAUAUACUAUAAUAUUCAUCAAUAUUCCUAAAUUUCAAUCCAUGACUGUCACUUUUUUAAUACAAAAUAAUCUAAACCAUCAUUACUAAUAUCAAUAUCCAAUAUAUUCCAUUGGCACAGAAUUCAAAAUCAAUCAAAUUUUCUCUAUAGGAAUAAUAUCAAUAAUUGUAUAUCAAGAAUAGAAACACAAUGCAGUUAUAAAUACAUAUAUCAAGAACACUUUUUUCUUGAUAACCAUAAUAGUAUAACUUAUAUUUAGUUCUUAUUCCACUUCUUAUCCUUAAUUUUUAUUUUUUAUCACUAUCACUAUCUUCAUCUCCAUCUAUUUUGAUAAUAAAAUUAGCACUCAAUUUGUCAUUUGACAAUUUCAAUUUGCUAAUACCUAUAAAAAAUUGGAAACAAAAAUGGGCGCAAGGAAACUAUUUAUUAAUAAUGAAAAAUCGAGAAUUGAGAAUAGAUACUAAAAUAUAUAAGUAUUGGUGAUUUAGUGUGUAUAGUGAUUUUAUUAGUAGCGACAGUACACAUUUGGUUGAUAAUAAUAGAUAAAUGAAUUUGAAAGAAAAAUAGAUAUAUGAAAAAGAGAAUAGAUAGUUAAAUAGAAAAAAUUGUGAUUUGAAUUAUUGGUUAAUAAUCGAUGAGAGAGUUUUAUUAUUUGAUAGAGUUUUUCAUUUUUCAAUGAGUUAACAAUUAAUAAAUAACAUUAUUGUCUUUUUAUCAUAACAAGGGAGAUCUCUAUAAUUAUGUAAACCUCAAGGGAGUCGAGUGAAAUUGUCGAAAAUCUCAGGGAAGUUUCUAAAAUUGUUCCUAGGGUUUAUAAGCAAUAUCAAAGUAAAGAAUCCAAAUAGUGAGGGCUUUGUGGUUUUCCUGGCUUUCCCCUCACUCUUUUAUUUAUUUAUUUAUUUUUUUUGGAGAUAAUUUGCAGGGGAUAUUUUGAGUCAGACGCUGAAAGGGCCUUAUAUGAAGGCCUCUUUUAUGUCACUGCUAAGGAAUCAACUUCUCGGCCAAUUUGGGCCAGAUUUAUUUAUUCCCCUUUCGGCCCACGUGGAAACUUCAACCUUGUAUCCCAAGAAAAAAAAAUUUCUUUUCUCAUCUUUGAAAUCAAAACAUUCAUUUGAACGUUGAUUAGAUGCUAAUCAACGAGAACAGGAAACUCUGAUUAGGGUUUUAAGGUUAGGGCUUAUAACCAAAAGUUAGGCCUGUCAAUCAGGCCUAAUAAGCCGGACUUUCAUAAGUUCAAAUUCAAUUCAUUAAUUUGAAACAUUUUUGGGUUUUGGAUUAUGAGUUACGGGUUCAUAAAUAUGAAUCUCAUAUUCAGCGCACAUAAUAUUCGGAUUGUGAACCUUAAUCGGGUUUAGCCCAAACUCACUUAUUACUUCUUAAUUUUCUUAAUAUAAUUACUAUAACUAUCAAGUUGUAAAACUAAUUUAACAUUUACAAGACUAUAAUAUUAAAACUAAAUAUGAACAAAUAAUAGUUCUUAAAAAGUAUAUAAACCAAAAAGUUUUCAACAAUAUUUAUAUUUAAUUAGUUCAAAAUGCAUGAAAAAUAGUAAUUAAAGAUGCGAUCAUAAGCCAAUACAUCUUUAAAAGUUAAAACUUUUUUGUUUAUAAUCUUGUGAUUUGAAUCUAAACAUGUUUGAUGAUUUGUGUUUGUAGAUCAAAAAAAAAUCAACCAAUAUUAUACCAACACAAAAAUUUACUCAACCAAUAAGAAAAGUUAGAAAUUCAGUUAUGCAUUACUAAUAUUGACUCCCAAAAAAUCUCAUGGAAGAGUCUUUAUAUGUAUUUUUAUAUUUUGUAAUUUAUAUAUAUUUAGUAUUUAGUAAUAAUAUAUUUGGAUAUAUAAUUAUACAUAAUAUCAAAAUAUAAAUAUUAUAUAUAUAUAGGUAUUUAAAGGGUCGAGCUUAUAUCGGGUUCGAGUCAAUAAGGUUCAAACUUGGCUCAUAUUUAAUUUGAAUCUAAUUUUUAGGAUGAAUUUCAGACCAACUCACUAAAAGGUCGGGUUUAUCGAGCUUUUUGUCUGACCUAACGAGCCAAGUUUGUCAGCCCCAUUGACAGUCCUACCAAAAGUCAAAUUAAAGAAUCCAAAUGGUAAGAGCUUUUUUGUUUUCCUGGCUUUCCCUUCUCUCUUUUAUUUGUUAUUUAUUAUUAUUAUUUUUUGGCAAUAAUUUGCAGGGGAUGUUUUGAGCCAGACGCUGAAAAAGGCCUUAUAUGAAGGCCCUUGUAUGUCUGUUAAGGAUUCAAAUUCUCGGCCAGUUAGGGCCAGAUUUAUUUGUUCCCCUUUCGACCCACGUGGAAACUUCAACCUUGUAUCCCAAGAAAUUUUUUUUUUCUUUUCUCAUAUUUGAAAUCAAUAUUUACAGUCAACAUAUUAAACAUCUCACAUCAUUUCUUGUGAAGAACAUUGAAAACUUGAUGAUCAAGAAAAGUUGGAUGUGAUCAGACACAUAUUCGUAGUAUUGGUUUAUUGCUUAUAAUUUCACAUGGGUUUUGAAAUCUACCCUGAUGGAGUUAUUUUCCAACUGCUUUCUUUUUGUACUUUGUCUUUAAAAGAAUCAUACAAAUACAACCAAUAAAUAGAUCGCCCAUUAGCAUAAUUCAAAACUCAGUUUGUAUAUUUUAUGCCUUCAACUUCUUCAAAAUUAUGUUAGUUGCAAGUCAUUCUUUACGACAAAUUCAGAACAUGUAAUUAGGUAAACUCGGCAUGUUUAACCAAAUCCUAUCUCUUCCUUAAAAUUGUCUAACCAAACAUGCCAAGUCAAAUGUGAGUCUUAAAAGAUUUAGGCACCAUUUGGAUUGAGGGAAUGGGAAAGGAAUCCAAGAGAUUUGUUUUUUAUUGUUUGGAUUGACUUUUAAGGAGGGAAAGGAUCUAAUCAUUUUGUCAAAUUUAUGGUUUUCACCCAGAAAUGGGUGGAAACAAGGAAAACGAAAACAAAUUAAUUUCAAUAUUUUAAUUUUUUUUUAAAAGAUCAUUUUUUGUCUAUCUUUUCUGGUAAUUAAAUACUUGGUCUUGUGAUUUCCUUUCUCUUCCUCUUCAAUCCAAACAAAAAAUUAGUAUUUCCUUUCAUUUCCUUCCAUACUUAAUCCCAACAACAAGAUCGAUGGAGUCCAGCCUUUUAUCCUUGAAGACCAAAAACAAAUAGGAAAAAAUUUUAGAGGUCUAGGAAUUCAUACGUGCUCCACUGCAAUAUUCUUAUGAGAAUUGAAAAUGAGAGAGAGCUUGUAUUCUAUAUAAAAAAAAAUAUAAACAAAAACAAUGAAAACAUAGAACAUGCCAGACUAGUGAUCGACCAAAAUCACCUGUUACUACAUAAAAUUCAAGAAUUUAAAAAUGUUCUGCUGCCCAUAUCUACAAAUGAAAGAUCGGCUUCGAAAGUAUUCCACCUCCUCUUGUUGCCACUUUCCAUGUUAUGGUACAGAAGCCAGAGUGCAGAAAAUGUAAAAGAAAACAAACUUGAUUGUAAUGAUUCGAUGAAUAAUCAAUGAAACAGUGAUUGUAAUGAGCUCAACUUUCAUUAAUGAAUCUGGAAAACAAAUUACAAGAACAGAGGUAAUGAAUUCAGCUAAGAAGGUGGAAGAUUUGAAGGAAAUUUGGGAGGGAAAAAAUGAGGAUUGCACUCAGGUUACUACAACCAAUUCCGGAUGGAAUAAUUCAAAAAUCUCUUAUUACAAUAAAGCAGACAUGUUUGCUUAUAAAGCUAUCAAUUUCUAACAAACUCCUAACUACACCAAUAAGAAUUAAACACGUGGCUCCUAAUACAAUCUAAACACGUGGCCUUCUUUUACUCAGCUCACUCCAUGACAAAGCCUCCCCCUUAAACAAUCCUUGUCCUCAAGGAUGUCGAACAAAGUUCCAGGCUUCCAAACAAAGUCUUCGGAUUGAUAUUUGGCAAUUCGCAGCAAGCAAGUAGUAUAAGAAAAUGGCAAAGCUUGCUGAUUCUUCUGAGUUUGAUAAGUUUGGUGGUCAGCCAGGCCUUGCGGCUCCAAAAUGUUUCCAACCUUUAAAGUUCUAAAUUGCCCAUCACUCCUAAAGCCAGGUCCUGGAAUUAGUUUUAGCUGAGCAACAAUAGCUGAAAUUCUAGAAAUAGCACCACCAACCAUAAAUAAUCUUUUAAGAGCAUCUUGAUCCGGAUAAUGCAAACCAAGGGAUUUCUCUACUGCCUUCAAAAGGUCUUACAAGUUAGCAUAAACACAACCAAGCAAGGUUAGAAGUCCUACUAUUUCUCCUGGAUUUGAAACAGAUAGGAGAAUUCCUAUAUAGCCAUUACAGGCCAAGCUAGCUAGAAAUUGCAGACCAAAGUACCUAUUGGUUCCCUCUUUUAAUUCCAAGAAAUUAGCAAGUACUGAUAUAGCUUUCACUGGUGCAUGUACCUGUAUGAUAUCCCUAUCUUGAAACACUUUUGCUGGUAAUAUGCCGUAAACCAAUGUGUUAUUAUCCUUACUAAAGUCAAUUUGACUACACCAUAACAAAGAUUGGGAAGAUUUCUCAUUAAGAAGUUCACUUUCCCCAACCUCCAUAAUCACAAUUUUACUUUUGUGACCACAUAUAGCAAGAGUAGAAAGUUGCCAAAUGGAAAUGCGGACACCAUAGAUAACUGUUGUACACUUCUCUACUUCUCCUUUCUGUGGACAUAUUCUUUCAAGCAAUUUGAAGCUGCACUCCUGUACAUAUUUCAAUUGUCCAUUGCUGAAGUUUUCAAGCAAGAUAACCUCACCGGGGUUGAACACGAAAAUGAAUGCAUUUGCAUCUUUUUCACCCCAAGUGCAGUGUUUUUCACUAUCCAAAAUGAAGACAGAGAGUAGUACUCAUUCACAGCAACAUUAGGAUUGCAGUCCUUACUUAAUUUAGGCAAUCCUUUGAUCAAGCAAACAAGGUGUUCAACUAUUGCUAUGUAAAAUAUACCUUGCAUCGAAACCACACCAAUUUUAGAGUCAUUACAGUCUUUGUUCAUUGCUAUUUUAGUACUGUCCCCAGGAUCAAAUAUCAAGUCAUCAAGUGGCCUAUUUUGUUGCGAAGGAACAAUAUUGACAGCACCAUCAUGCUUUUGUUCAUCAUUAUUCAUUUUCACAAGUUUAGAUAAUAACAU